UAGGGAAUAUUAGAAAUGGACGAAAGUCUGAUCUAGCAACACCGCGUGUGCGAAGAAGGCCUUCGGGUUGUAAAGCACUUUUUGGGAGGAUUAGGAAGGAAUGUACUUCAAGAAUAAGUCCCGGCUAACUACGUGCCAGCAGCCGCGGUAACACGUAGGAGGCAAACGUUAUCCGGAUUUACUGGGCGUAAGGCGCGUGUAGGUGGUACUGUAAGUAGGGCGUGAAAGCUCCUGGCUCAACUGGGAGAGGCCGUUCUAAACUACAGAACUAGAGGAUGGUAGAGGGAGGUGGAAUUCCAGGUGUAGCGGUGGAAUGCGCAGAUAUCUGGAGGAACACCAGUGGCGAAGGCGGCCUCCUGGACCAUUCCUGACACUCAGACGCGGAAGCUAGGGUAGCAAACA
rnacentral:rRNA from 1 species